rnacentral:rRNA from 1 species
UACGUAGGGUGCGAGCGUUGUCCGGAAUUAUUGGGCGUAAAGAGCUCGUAGGCGGUUUGUCACGUCUGCUGUGAAAUCCCGAGGCUCAACCUCGGGCCUGCAGUGGGUACGGGCAGACUGGAGUGCGGGUAGGGGAGAAUGGAAUUCCUGGUGUAGCGGUGAAAUGCGCAGAUAUCAGGAGGAACACCGGUGGCGAAGGCGGGUC